GUCCACGCCCUAAACGGUGGGCACUAAGUGUGGGGUAUAACCCUCCGUGCCGUAGCUAACGUAUUAAGUGCCCCGCCUGGGGAGUACGGCCGCAAGGUUAAAACUCAAAGGAAUUGACGGGGCCCGCACAAGCGGUGGAGCAUGUGGUUUAAUUCGACGCAACGCGAAAAACCUUACCUGGGCUUGACAUCCCAAGAAGUCCCUGGAAACAGGGAUGUGCCUCGUAAAGAGGAGCUUGGAGACAGGUGCUGCAUGGCUGUCGU
rnacentral:rRNA from 1 species